AUCGGUUAAGGGUCUUGGGAUAGUUGGAGUUAAGUGUCCUUGGGUUUGAAUAGUACUGGGCUGGGUGACCUCCCGGGAAGUCCAAAUUCAGUCGUUU
rfam:Selaginella moellendorffii unplaced genomic scaffold SELMOscaffold_28, whole genome shotgun sequence.